AGUGAACGCUGGCGGUAGGCCUAACACAUGCAAGUCGAACGGCAGCACAGUAAGAGCUUGCUCUUACGGGUGGCGAGUGGCGGACGGGUGAGGAAUACAUCGGAAUCUACUUUUUCGUGGGGGAUAACGUAGGGAAACUUACGCUAAUACCGCAUACGACCUACGGGUGAAAGCAGGGGAUCUUCGGACCUUGCGCGAUUGAAUGAGCCGAUGUCGGAUUAGCUAGUUGGCGGGGUAAAGGCCCACCAAGGCGACGAUCCGUAGCUGGUCUGAGAGGAUGAUCAGCCACACUGGAACUAAGACACGGUCCAGACUCCUACGGGAGGCAGCAGUGGGGAAUAUUGGACAAUGGGCGCAAGCCUGAUCCAGCCAUACCGCGUGGGUGAAGAAGGCCUUCGGGUUGUAAAGCCCUUUUGUUGGGAAAGAAAAGCAGCAGGUUAAUACCCCGCUGUUCUGACGGUACCCAAAGAAUAAGCACCAGCUAACUUCGUG
rnacentral:rRNA from 1 species